rnacentral:tRNA from 1 species
GGAGGUAUAGCUUAGUAGUAAAGCACAUGCUUAGCAUGCACAAGGCCCUGGGUUUGAUCCCCAGUACCAUAA